GGACGGGUGGCAGAGUGGUUGAAUGCACCGGUCUUGAAAACCGGCAGGGGUGCAAGCCCCUCGUGGGUUCGAAUCCCACCCCGUCCGCCA
rnacentral:tRNA from 1 species